UGGGGAAUAUUGGACAAUGGGGGGAACCCUGAUCCAGCCAUGCCGCGUGUGUGAAGAAGGCCUUUUGGUUGUAAAGCACUUUAAGCGAGGAGGAGGCUACUCUAGUUAAUACCUAGGGAUAGUGGACGUUACUCGCAGAAUAAGCACCGGCUAACUCUGUGCCAGCAGCCGCGGUAAUACAGAGGGUGCGAGCGUUAAUCGGAUUUACUGGGCGUAAAGCGUGCGUAGGCGGCUUUUUAAGUCGGAUGUGAAAUCCCUGAGCUUAACUUAGGAAUUGCAUUCGAUACUGGGAAGCUAGAGUAUGGGAGAGGAUGGUAGAAUUCCAGGUGUAGCGGUGAAAUGCGUAGAGAUCUGGAGGAAUACCGAUGGCGAAGGCAGCCAUCUGGCCUAAUACUGACGCUGAGGUACGAAAGCAUGGGGAGCAAACA
rnacentral:rRNA from 1 species